rnacentral:lncRNA from 1 species
GGAAAUACAGAUUGCAAACAACAAGGUCAUGGGAAUUUUCUGGAGUGGAAGAGUCAGUGCAACCAAAUUCCUUGAACAAGGAUGACUUGUUAUUGAAAGCCAGAUAUGGCAAAGAUGUCAUUAUUGGCGUUCUUGACAGCGGUACAUACAUACAUAUAUAUAUAUAUAUGGGAUGACUUGCUAUUGAAAGCCAGAUAUGGCAAAGAUGUCAUUAUUGGUGUUCUUGACAGCGGUACAUACAUAUACAUAUUUGCUUACUAUUAUUUCCAAUUUGGCGUUAUUUUCUGUAUUUCCACAUAGGACAACAUAAUAUCUAGC